rnacentral:rRNA from 1 species
UAAGGAAUAUUGGUCAAUGGACGCAAGUCUGAACCAGCCAUGCCGCGUGAAGGAUGAAGGUCCUCUGGAUUGUAAACUUCUUUUAUCUGGGACGAAAACGGGAUUUUUAUCUCAAUUGACGGUACCAGAGGAAUAAGCACCGGCUAACUCCGUGCCAGCAGCCGCGGUAAUACGGAGGGUGCGAGCGUUAUCCGGAUUUACUGGGUUUAAAGGGUGCGUAGGUGGGCUUAUAAGUCAGUGGUGAAAUCUCCGAGCUUAACUUGGAAACUGCCGUUGAUACUAUAGGUCUUGAAUUAUCUGGAGGUAAGCGGAAUAUGUCAUGUAGCGGUGAAAUGCUUAGAUAUGACAUAGAACACCGAUUGCGGAGGCAGCUUGCUACGCAAAUAUUGACGCUGAGGCACGAAAGCGUGGGGAUCAAACA